CCCCUAGAUGUUCUGGGCCGCACGCGCGCUACACUGAACAGUUCAACAAGUCUUAACCUUGGCCGAUAGGUCUGGGUAAUCUUUGAACGCUGUUCGUGAUUGGGAUAGACCUUUGCAAUUAUGGGUCUUCAACGAGGAAUUCCUAGUAAACGCAAGUCAUCAGCUUGCAUUGAUUACGUCCCUGCCCUUUGUACACACCGCCCGUCGCACCUACCGAUUGAAUGGUCCGGUGAAAUCUCGGGACGGCGGCUUGGUCGCUUGCGUCCGAAUGCUGAAACUUGAUUAAACCAUAUCAUUUAGAGGAAGGUGAAGUCGUAACA
rnacentral:rRNA from 1 species